rnacentral:rRNA from 1 species
UACGUAGGGCGCAAGCGUUGUCCGGAAUUAUUGGGCGUAAAGAGCUCGUAGGCGGUCUGUCGCGUCCGUUGUGAAAACUCGAGGCUCAACCUCGGGCUUGCAGUGGAUACGGGCAGACUAGAGUGCGGUAGGGGAGACUGGAAUUCCUGGUGUAGCGGUGGAAUGCGCAGAUAUCAGGAGGAACACCGAUGGCGAAGGCAGGUCUCUGGGCCACUACUGACGCUGAGAAGCGAAAGCGUGGGGAGCGAACAGG